rnacentral:lncRNA from 1 species
AACAAAGUAGAAGAGUGAGAUUAGUCUACAUGGCAAGAGUAAAACACACUGUGAACUCAAAGGAUUCACUAGCAAAGAGUAACAGACACAACAACACAGCUUGUUUUAGAAACUAUACAAAAAGCUACUCAUAAUGUCAUCACUACAAGAAAAAUGGGCUUUGAUAGCAGUGAAGGAUAACGUUUUUUGCCUUUCUGCUAUGGUUGACAUACCCGUUAGUUUUAGAUAGCGUUUGUAUAUUUAGAACCGCUAUGAUAGAACUGUAUAUUUAAAAACGCUAUGCUAGCGUAUUUUUAAUAGCGCAUUAUUAAAAACGCUAUCUUUGACUUUUUAAUUCUCUAAACCCUAAACAAGUUUUAAACCCUAAACUUUAAACAUAACUUCAAAAUCUAACUAUUUUGAUAUCAAAUCUUAAAUUUAACCUCAAAUAUUAAAUAUAAAUUCAAAAACUAUUUCUUUUUCAAUAAUUAAUCUUAAAUCCCAAUACCUUAAACCUUUAACCCCCAAACCCUAUACUCAAACCUUUAUUCUAAACUCAUAACU